GUACCCUACGGGAGGCAGCAGUGAGGAAUAUUGGUCAAUGGGCGUAAGCCUGAACCAGCCAAGUCGCGUGAGGGACGACGGCCCUACGGGUUGUAAACCUCUUUUGCCGGGGGACAAACGGCGGCACGCGUGCCGUCCUGAGGGUACCCGGAGAAAAAGCAUCGGCUAACUCCGUGCCAGCAGCCGCGGUAAUACGGAGGAUGCGAGCGUUAUACGGAUUUAUUGGGUUUAAAGGGUGCGUAGGCGGGAUGCCAAGUCAGCGGUCAAAUACGGGGACUCAACCUGCGUCCGCAGUUGAAACUGGG
rnacentral:rRNA from 1 species